AUUGAACGCUGGCGGCAUGCCUAACACAUGCAAGUCGAACGGUAACAGGCCCUUCGGGUGCUGACGAGUGGCGGAUGGGUGAGUAAUACUUAGGAAUCUACCCUGUAGUGGGGGACGAACCCGGGGAACGUCGGGCUAAUACCGCAUACCGCUCUACGGAGGAAAGCGGGGGACCGCAAGGCCUCGCGCUAUUGGAUGAGCCUAAGCCCGAUUAGCUAGUUGGUGGGGUAAUAGCCUACCAAGGCAAUGAUCGGUAGCUGGUCUGAGAGGACGACCAGCCACACUGGGACUGAGACACGGCCCAGACUCCUACGGGAGGCAGCAGUGGGGAAUAUCGGACAAUGGGCGAAAGCCUGAUCCAGCGAUGCCGCGUG
rnacentral:rRNA from 1 species